rnacentral:rRNA from 1 species
CAGCAGCCGCGGUAAUACGUAGGUGGCAAGCGUUGUCCGGAAUUAUUGGGCGUAAAGGGCUCGCAGGCGGUUUCUUAAGUCUGAUGUGAAAGCCCCCGGCUCAACCGGGGAGGGUCAUUGGAAACUGGGAAACUUGAGCGCAGAAGAGGAGAGUGGAAUUCCACGUGUAGCGGUGAAAUGCGUAGAGAUGUGGAGGAACACCAGUGGCGAAGGCGACUCUCUGGUCUGUAACUGACGCUGAGGAGCGAAAGCGUGGGGAGCGAACAGGAUUAGAUACCCCCGUAGUCCCUGUCUCUUAUAC